CCAUAGUAGUAAUUAAUAUUAAAAAAUAUUAAAUAUUCUCUUGUAUAUCUCACUUGGCACAUCAGCCAAAAAUCUCUCACUGUUGGUGAGGAAUAUGGGUCUGACAAUGCCUUCUACGACUAUGGUGAUAGAGACGGCAACAACAGUCCCUCCGACCGCGGCGGAGGGGGAAAGUGGGCGCACAUUAGUGAGAGAGAGGGAGCAAGCGAGUGAGCGAAGGAGGCGAUGGUAUAUAGCAAAAGAUGAGAGAUAGAGAAUUGAUGAAUAGAAUGGAGAUAAAGAAUUGAAAGUCCGGCGGAGAAAAAGAGAGGAAAAUGGUCAUGAUGAAUAAUUAAAAUAGAGAGGUUAUAAUUGUAGAUGGUAGAGGACCAUUUAAAUAUACUAAUUGAAAGUUUCGUAGCUAAUGGGACCGUUUGUAUUAAUUAAAAGUCUAGUGGAGAGAAGGGAAAGGAUCAUGAUGAAUAAUUAUAUAUAGAAAUGAUAGAAUUGUAGAUGGUGGUGAAAAUCGUGAGAUGCACUAAUUGAAAGUUGGGUUAGUGAGACCGUUAAAUUGCAUAUUGAAGUGUGGUGAAGAGAAGAAUAAGGGUCACAUACUAGUGAGGGUAAAAGAGAAUUUGCCACGUGGCAACAAACAUUGGGAAUUCAUAUAGGUUAAUAGAUAUUUACUCUCUCUCUCUUACUAUCACACACACAAUAUUUAUAUAUCUAUACUAUUUAUAAAAGCGUGAGUUUUGAAUUUUUUUUUCCUUUCCAAAAAACCUCUAUCCUUUUUACUAAUAUUUUCAUGUCCAAUAAUUCUCAACCAAUCAUUUCAAAUAAUUAACUAAAUAAUAAUUUAUUUCCAAAUAAAGAUAUAAUUUUUUGCCAUUAAAUCUUAUCUACCGAUUGAAAAUAAAAGUAUCUGUCAUUUUUUAUGAUAAAAAUACCCUCGCAUUUAUAUCAUAUCUUCUAUUUACGUUUUUCUUAAAUAUUUUUCUUCUUACGCGUAAUAUCCAGACCUGCCAAUUCUUUCUCAACAUAAUAUUCGUGAAUUUCUCAAAUAUAUCCACCUAUCAUACACGUCCACUACCUAUAUAAUAUUCAGUUAAUUUUUUUCACACGUAAUUUGUGAUCGUUUCUCAAACAUUCUCUCAACCUAUUAUAAUUUUGAAUUAAAUAUAUCAUCGCAUUUGAAUUUAAAUAUUAAAAUAGAUCAAAAUUAAAUUUUAAAAUUUAAAUUAAGCAUAAAUUUUAU
rnacentral:lncRNA from 1 species